AUCACAUCUUCCUGGCUGCCACCCCCUGCCAUGAAAUCCUCUUUUUGCUAUGCGCUAGUAAAUGUAAUCAAUUUCUUAUUUUUUUUUUUUAAAGGCCAAAGGAGGUGGCUGUGUUUCACAGAGAAGACUUCACUGAAAACCUUGGACCUAGUUGGUAACCUCAAAAUGCACCUUAAGGACCUUAAGGACUGUAGAAGACCACCUGAGUUGCUGCAGAAGAUGUCAUUUACGUCAGCUUAUUCUGACUGGGUGGCAUCUGCCAUCUCUGGAAAGGCCUGUACCAGGUUUGAGCCUUGGAGAGAAUAGUUUGCUUGCUGUCAGUGGAAGCUAGAGUUGUUCUGCACUUCUUUUUCAACCUUUUGCUGCGCUCCUAGUGAGCAUCCAGACAGCUCUGCCUCGAGUGCUGCUGGGAGGAGAGAUGGAGACUGGAAAGAAGGUGGCAGAAGCAAAAGGAACUGAAGAUAAUUUCAUCUGCUGCAGCAGGGACGUAAGGUUACAAAAUGGAGUGCCAAGGCACUUCCUCUCUCUCCCAUUUUCUUGAUUUUGUCACCUGAAAACUGAAUUCAGGAUCAGCCUGCGUAAGGUCUGGGUAGGUGGCAUUCCUGAAUUGUUCUAAGAUGCUUGGGCAGAUAUCCUUAACUCAGUCUGUAUCAAGCACCUAUUGCAUCAAGGGACAAAUUGAGGUUACAUCUGAAGACUCAACAUCCUUUCUUUAUAAGCAAAAGCAAAAGUUUUAAUUGCUUGGCUUUAGCAAGUUUAGUGUUUGUAAGGUGUCAGUGCAGUGUAUACUGUUUCUGGUAGAAAAAAAAAUGGGGAGGGGCUAUUUUCAUGCUGUACUUGUUUAUUUUUUUCACUUGGAAUACUUUUUUAUCUAUCAUCUGAGUAAGAUUACCCAGUCUUUGGUCCUUACUGAGACAGAGAGGUUCCAGAAUUUCUUGGUGUAAAUAAGCAUCGCUAAUUUAAGGUUUGCAUUUCAAGGUUUAGCUUUACCACAAAGUACUGUAUAUUCUUCUUUUGUGAAUUUACAUUCUCAUUUAUAUAUACAAUAUAUAGCCUCCGUUACUUAAAAAUAAAUCUUAACCAGUUGCGAUCA
rnacentral:lncRNA from 1 species